rnacentral:rRNA from 1 species
UACGUAGGUGGCAAGCGUUGUCCGGAUUUACUGGGCGUAAAGCGCCCGCAGGCGGCUUGGCAAGUCUGAGGUGAAAUCUCCCGGCUCAACUGGGAGGGUGCCCCGGAAACUGCCAGGCUCGAGGCAGGGAGAGGGAUGUGGAAUUCCCGGUGUAGUGGUGAAAUGCGUAGAUAUCUGAAGGAACAUCAGUGGCGAAAGCGACUUCCUGGACCAAUACUGACGCUCAUGUGCGAAAGCGUGGGGAGCAAACAGG